rnacentral:rRNA from 1 species
UACGAGUGCCCCAAGCGUUAUCCGGAAUCAUUGGGCGUAAAGGGUGUGUAGGUGGUCUUGUUAGUCUUUUGUUAAAUUCUUCGGCUUAACCGGGGACCUGCAAAGGAAACGGCAAGACUAGAGAGUGCGAGGGGUGUAUGGAACUCAUGGAGUAGGGGUGAAAUCCGUUGAUAUCAUGGGGAACACCAAAAGCGAAGGCAGUACACUGGCGCAUUUCUGACACUGAAACACGAAAGCGUGGGUAGCGAAUGGG